UGGGGAAUAUUGCACAAUGGGCGCAAGCCUGAUGCAGCCAUGCCGCGUGUAUGAAGAAGGCCUUCGGGUUGUAAAAUACUUUCAGCGGGGAGGAAGGCGAUAAGGUUAAUAACCUUGUCGAUUGACGUUACCCGCAGAAGAAGCACCGGCUAACUCCGUGCCAGCAGCCGCGGUAAUACGGAGGGUGCAAGCGUUAAUCGGAAUUACUGGGCGUAAAGCGCACGCAGGCGGUCUGUCAAGUCGGAUGUGAAAUCCCCGGGCUCAACCUGGGAACUGCAUUCGAAACUGGCAGGCUAGAGUCUUGUAGAGGGGGGUAGAAUUCCAGGUGUAGCGGUGAAAUGCGUAGAGAUCUGGAGGAAUACCGGUGGCGAAGGCGGCCCCCUGGACAAAGACUGACGCUCAGGUGCGAAAGCGUGGGGAGCAAACA
rnacentral:rRNA from 1 species